GACGUCACUCUUCUCCUUCACAGAGAAACAUAGAAAGAACCGUCUCGUUGUGCUGGUGGUUUAUCUUCUUCUUAACUUUGCAAAUGAGUUAAGAUGAACUUCACUGAGGAGUUUACGUGUUGAAGAGCUUCAGGACUCAAGACGUCCACGCCUCCAUGUUUGUUUCUCCUCGUUAAAGUCGCGCCGACUUUGUUGCUGUUGAAGUUCUUCUCGCGUCGGACCAACUAACGCCGUCGUGUUUCGUACUAAACACCGGACUUCACGUCGGGCUUCCGCGCCGAGAGAACCGUCCAUGGAGGACACCGAGUGAUACAACAUACACAACAAGCUGCGUGUCCUGGCUAAAAGGCUUUAUAAAUCCGUGCACGGGAGGAGAUGAUCUGCAGCAUCCUGGUGAUCUUCAUCCUGACCUCCUGUGUC